rnacentral:misc_RNA from 1 species
AUUCAUGAUUAUUAUAUAUCAUCAAAUCGUUUGCAUAGGUUUUUUUUUUAAGACGAAAGUAUUGAGAACCACUGGUAUCUCUUUCAUUGCUACGAUACGCACACUUUCUUUUAAUAAACUUGUGUGGGUGUGUGAUAUCACGAAUGACAUCACCCCGUGCAUCAGUGUUAGUGGUACGGUUUGAAACUCGCUAAAGGCGUGCUCGCACUUCAGUCAUUCGCAGACGCUCAUCCGACGAUCAUAUUUACCUUUAUCGAGGUACCAUCAUAAGUAAAAACAGUCAUGUCUCAUUCAGUAGUAAUCAGGACGCAAACAGUGAGGACCGAGUCAACUGCAAUAGUUAUUAAUACGGGAUAUUUAAAAACAUGGAGUGGAAUAUUAAAAUUCUUGCAACUAGCUUUGGGAAUCGUAUGCGUAGGAAUUAUCGGUGAUCAAUUUAAACCGGGAUAUUAUCGCACAACUACGGAUUUAUUUUUCUUUUUAGUAGUAACAACGUUCAUGAUAGGAACUUUCAUUCUAUUGUUAAGCUGUUUGUGUUCUCUAUCAACUUCAUCUAUAAUAUCAAAAACGAUAUAUGAAUUAUUUUAUCAUUCGAUAGCAUUCGGUCUCGUACUAUCUGCAGCUCUGUCAUUAUUGGUACAAAUAAAUAAAACAAAUGAUAGAAAUUAUGAAUUGUUAUUAGGUGCAGCUAUUUGCGGUCUCGUAAAUUCGGCCUUGUAUUUGUUUAGUACAAUAAUAGCGCUUCGUUCAUACAGGGGUAUUUAAAUGCUACAAGUUUAAAAUGACCAAUCAAUUUUUCAUCUUGCGAACGAACAAUGAACACUAACUUUUUUAUAUUUAUAUAAUGUUUCGAAUCAAUUUUAUUGGACUAUAUAUAUAUAUAUACAUAUAUGUAUGUAAACAAUUUAACUGCCAGGCUAAGAUGUCUACGAAAAAAUACUAAUUGGACGAUUUAGAUGUAUGCGACUGACGUCAGAAUUAAUAAUAUGAGAAAUAUAACAUUUAUAAAGAUUAGUUAAUAUUAAAAAUGUCGAAUGACUCACUCGCUACUAUUGCUGGAUCUCAUUCAUUAUUUUAUAACUUUUAUCGAGAAGCUAUAUUCUAUAUUAUCUACAAAUAAAAAUUAUAAGAAUUAAUGUAUGUUUAAAUAUAAGUUUCGAUCGAAUUCAUCAAUGUCGAUUAAAGUUAAUAAGUAUGUGUA